rnacentral:rRNA from 1 species
GGACGAACGCUGGCGGCGCGCCUAACACAUGCAAGUCGAACGAGCAAAGAGGAGCUUGCUUCUCUGAGCGAGUGGCGAACGGGUGAGUAACGCGUGAGGAACCUGCCUCAAAAGAGGGGGACAACAGUUGGAAACGACUGCUAAUACCGCAUAAGCCCACGGGUCGGCAUCGACCAGAGGGAAAAGGAGCAAUCCGCUGAAAGAUGGCCUCGCGUCUGAUUAGCUGGUUGGUGAGGUAACGGCCCACCAAGGCGACGAUCAGUAGCCGGACUGAGAGGUUGACCGGCCACAUUGGGACUGAGAUACGGCCCAGACUCCUACGGGAGGCAGCAGUGGGGAAUAUUGGGCAAUGGGCGCAAGCCUGACCCAGCAACGCCGCGUGAAGGAAGAAGGCUUUCGGGUUGUAAACUUCUUUUAAGAGGGAAGAGCAGAAGACUGUACCUCUAGAAUAAGCCACGGCUAACUACGUG